GAUGAACGCUGGCGGCGUGCCUAAUACAUGCAAGUCGAGCGAACGGACGAGAAGCUUGCGUCUCUGAUGUUAGCGGCGGACGGGUGAGUAACACGUGGAGAACCUACCUAUAAGACUGGGGUAACUUCUGGAAACCGUAGCUAAUACCAGAUAAUAUUUUGAACCGCAUGGUUCAAAAGUGAAAGACGGUCUUGCUGUCACUUAUAUAUGUAUCCGCGAUGCAUUAGCUAGUUGGUAAGGUAACGGCUUACCAAGGCAACGAUGAAUAGCCGACCUGAGAGAGGGACAGGCCACACUGCAACUGAGAGACGGUCCAGACUCCGACGGGAGGCAGCAGUAGGGAAUUUCGGGAAACGGGAGAAAGGAAGACGGAGCAAUGCCGCGUGAGUGAUGAAGGUCUUCGGAUCGUAAAACUCUGUUAUUAGGGAAGAACAUAUGCGUAAGUAAGUGUGCAAACCAUGACGGUACCUAAUCAGAAAGCCACGGCUAACUCCGUG
rnacentral:rRNA from 1 species